rnacentral:rRNA from 1 species
GAUGAACGCUGGCGGCGUGCCUAAUACAUGCAAGCCGAGCGAACGGACGAGAAGCUUGCUUCUCUGAUGUUAGCGGCGGACGGGUGAGUAACACGUGGAUAACCUACCUAUAAGACUGGGAUAACUUCGGGAAACCGGAGCUAAUACCGGAUAAUAUUUUGAACCGCAUGGUUCAAAAGUGAAAGACGGUCUUGCUGUCACUUAUAGAUGGAUCCGCGCUGCAUUAGCUAGUUGGUAAGGUAACGGCUUACCAAGGCAACGAUGCAUAGCCGACCUGAGAGGGUGAUCGGCCACACUGGAACUGAGACACGGUCCAGACUCCUACGGGAGGCAGCAGUAGGGAAUCUUCCGCAAUGGGCGAAAGCCUGACGGAGCAACGCCGCGUGAGUGAUGAAGGUCUUCGGAUCGUAAAACUCUGUUAUUAGGGAAGAACAUAUGUGUAAGUAACUGUGCACAUCUUGACGGUACCUAAUCAGAAAGCCACGGCUAACUACGCGCCAGCAGCCGCGGUAAUACGUAGGUGGCAAGCGUUAUCCGGAAUUAUUGGGCGUAAAGCGCGCGUAGGCGGUUUUUUAGUCUGAUGUGAAAGCCCACGGCUCAACCGUGGAGGGUCAUUGGAAACUGGAAAACUUGAGUGCAGAAGAGGAAAGUGGAAUUCCAUGUGUAGCGGUGAAAUGCGCAGAGAUAUGGAGGAACACCAGUGGCGAAGGCGACUUUCUGGUCUGUAACUGACGCUGAUGUGCGAAAGCGUGGGGAUCAAACAGGAUUAGAUACCCUGGUAGUCCACGCCGUAAACGAUGAGUGCUAAGUGUUAGGGGGUUUCCGCCCCUUAGUGCUGCAGCUAACGCAUUAAGCACUCCGCCUGGGGAGUACGACCGCAAGGUUGAAACUCAAAGGAAUUGACGGGGACCCGCACAAGCGGUGGAGCAUGUGGUUUAAUUCGAAGCAACGCGAAGAACCUUACCAAAUCUUGACAUCCUUUGACAACUCUAGAGAUAGAGCCUUCCCCUUCGGGGGACAAAGUGACAGGUGGUGCAUGGUUGUCGUCAGCUCGUGUCGUGAGAUGUUGGGUUAAGUCCCGCAACGAGCGCAACCCUUAAGCUUAGUUGCCAUCAUUAAGUUGGGCACUCUAAGUUGACUGCCGGUGACAAACCGGAGGAAGGUGGGGAUGACGUCAAAUCAUCAUGCCCCUUAUGAUUUGGGCUACACACGUGCUACAAUGGACAAUACAAAGGGCAGCGAAACCGCGAGGUCAAGCAAAUCCCAUAAAGUUGUUCUCAGUUCGGAUUGUAGUCUGCAACUCGACUACAUGAAGCUGGAAUCGCUAGUAAUCGUAGAUCAGCAUGCUACGGUGAAUACGUUCCCGGGUCU